CAGAACGCAUGGCACUCGCGGGAUAAAACGCGUGCAUAUUGAGUGGGUAAUCUUUGAUUAAUCGAUUAUACAACGCAGACGCAACAACAGUGAAAGCCCAGAGAUCACGAGCAGGCGAGAGUGUUCCCCUGUGCCCGCCCCCUUCACCAAACACCGGCGUGUGUGUCCCUUGGCUUUAAAGAAAGAGUCUCUACUCUGUCAGCCUGAGUGACUCAUGGGACCCCAGACGUCGCCCACAGCACUGAGGACCAGGCUAAGCCAAUAACCACGAACAGUGAAGGGAACCAUCUGCACCCCGUCAAUGCAUCACCUGCUCCACUGAGCCAUCGCCACGGAGACCAGGGGACCGGGGAUUAGG